GAAGGAUUAACAGUCAAUCAUGGCCCAUGUGGCCUUAUUUCUUUAAGUAAACCGACAGAUGCCACCUCUUUCCACCAGAGUAUAAUCCUCUCUGAAGAGAAGGGAACGAAGGAGCAGAGAGCUUCAGUGUCUGUGAUAAACUGGGCUGUUCUCCUCCUCUCUGUCAGAUCGCGCUCUGCAUCACACCAUUUCACAUGAUGACCGACUCUGCUUACAAGCACCGAAACCUUCCGCUCUGGCUAUCCGCUUCUUACAUGCAUUUUUCUUUCUCUUUUCGUUAAUCUUGAAGGACAUUUUGUGAUGCAACACUGUAAGCGGAAAUGAUUUAUGUUGCAUCCAGCAGCAUCAAGGUGCCCCGUGCGCAAUAGCGUGCGGACGAUACAGAACAUUUGAUGGUUUUUGAAGGACGCACUUCAGCACUGACUGGACAUUUCCCCAAACUGGAUCUAUGGACAAUAAUUAUCUCGGGGGAUAAAAACCUAUUAUUUAUUUCCUGCUUUACGAGGUUUACUGUUUGUGUAAGUUUUGAAGAAAUCUAUGUACAAUGUUUGCUGUAUGAUUUUACGAACUGUUAAUGUCACCAAACUGCUUCUAUUUUACUAAGGAAAAGCAUGUUUCUUGAUUCCUUCUUAUAGCUCAUAUAGCAGCCGACUGUAAAUACAUUGAAGUGUCACUGUGUCCAAUUAUGUCAGGCUAUAUUAAUAGGUUCUUUGAUUUUCAGAAUGAAUGGACGUCAAGAUGCUCGAAAACUUCGCCUAAUUAAAAUCCAAUUUGCGGGGACACCGUUUUCCUGUCUGUGUAUGGUGCAAGGUGGGCUUUGGCAAAUGGUCCCCUCCACUUUUUUUUCCCCCAAUAUUUAGUUUACCCCCUCCCGAUGCAGGUGCUGUCAACUGCCCCCACCUUCUGACAUAUACCCCGCCCGACCCCCCACAUACGGCGGCAGUGUCUCCGGGUUAGUCCAUCAGCACCACCCCCCACCCCCCCCUUACCUCUGCUGCAUUUUUUGCAUGAGCUAUCUAGGUCAUUAGCAUUUUAGCGUAUGAAAGACUUGACAAAGCUGGUGAGAAGCCAGAUGGGCCCUGUACUGUUCUUUUUUUUUUUUUUUUUUUUUUGGUAACUCAUGGGAGUUGAGCAAGGGACCAACUGCAGCAAGCCAUUGAGCGCUUUCUUUUAUUGUCAUCACUUGGGCCUGAUGUUGCACCAACACAUGAUGGGGAGAUGCGCACCGUCCUAUGGAAGUAACCCACUCGUGCCUAUCGAACGGUUUCAGAAAAAUAGGUAAUGUAAUAAAUAGGAACGCUUAUAUAUUUUCCAUAGUGUCAAUUUACCACAUUAUGUGAGUGUGUUUUCUAGAAUGCAAGAAAAAGUGGCAUUGUUCUUGCAACUGAUGCGCCGACGCUUUAAGGAUGCAUGAUGCGCUGUGCAUUGUUAGAUGCUGAUGCUCCAGCACUCGAAAGAGGACGUAGACAUUUUGGUGCAACAUCCUAGCUGCCAUACAGCCUAUAGUUGUGCGAUUCUGAAUAUUGUGGUUGAACAUAGGCCUGCUUCUCUUCGUGUUCACAGCGGACCUUGAUUUAAAUGUCCAUACAAUUAAGGCACGCGGUGAAUGCCAAGAGAGAUGGCAAAUAUCUUCGAUGACUGUUUUUAUUCGAGCACAACGCAGAUAGUCAGUGCUCUGUAAUGCAUGACGGUUCCUGUUUUUAUUUCGUUUUUAAAAGCGGCUUUUAAGCGUGUGAUGGUGUGAAGGCGAACCGACGCAUUAAUGCGGCGCAAAAGUGAGUAUCAUUGAACAUUAUGAAGUUUUAUGAAGUAAUGAAGCUUGCGGUUUGAUGAAAAUGUUGAACAUGCUAUCUACGGUGAUGCUUUUUUUAUUUAUUUUUAAUUGCGUAAAAACAGGCUAUAGAAAUGCCAUAUAGUCUCAUUUGCAUAUCCGUAAGACAACAAGAUGUCUUGAGGAGAAAAUGAAGAUAAAUAUGGAUAAAUAAAAAAAGUUGUGAGGCCUACAAUGACAACCAAAUUAAACAGCACGAGGCGUUCUUGAAUUUCUGCAGACGAUGCGUAAUGACACAAAGUCAGUCGGCAGCAGUGGAUUCUCAAAGUGGCACUUGUAAUGUGUCCUCGUUGCAAGGGCACAGAAAAUGUUCAGCAUGUUUCGCAUGUACGUAUGCAAUGUAUUCAUAAUUCUGAAAAUGCUGUAAACAAUUUUAGGUGGUCAAUAAAAGCACAUAUUCACGAA